GCCAAAAGUGCUGAGCACUUUCUCCUGUGCUGAUUGAGUCACAUAGAGAAAGCUGAGUUGCUAGAGGUAUUAUUGAGGGUGAAAAGAUAAGAGAGAGGAAGCUGCAAAGGAAGACUCAAGUAAUAUUGCCUUGGUAGCUGCUGGGUUUACAUGACCUAAUGGGAACGUUGUGUAUUCAGUGGUUACCUCAAUAAGCAGAAGGGCUAAUGAUUCAUUGUAUGAAAAAUGAAUGGAAGAAUGCAAGGUUUGUUAAGCAGUUACAGCUAAAUGUAACUAAAUUGAGGCUUCAAGUUUUAUCUUCGUCAGGCAGCAUGUUGUCCUGGAGCAGAAAGGGCAAACAUCUACUUCAGGAGGUGUCUUUGCUUCAGACAGUACCUCACCUGAUCAGCUCGGGCUGGGAGACCUACUCAAGAAGGCAAGUUAUGCUGGUCUUUCAUGCAACAUGCCUGGCUUAGGAGUCUGAGCUGCUCUCAGGCGUUUUGCAGUCUGCCUCAGUGCUACACCCUCUCAGCCCAUAUCUGGGAAUGAGGACCCAGUGAAGAAAUACUGUCUUACCUCCUCUGUCAGGACUCCGAUCACGUCAAAGAAGCACCAUCAGUGUCAAAGAUACCAUUCAAAUGCAAGCUUACAAAAUCUCCAGCACUAAGGAAGGAAUAACUGCACUAAAAACAAAAGGUUCUCAAUAUUGCCUUUCACUGAAAUGGAAAGCUACUGGUAUUUCUCAGAGCAAUAAGCUAAAUGAUACUUCCUCCAUUUCUCUGCACAAAUUGCCUGAUUUUGAGCCAAUAUUCAAAUGUGUUUCUGCUCUCAGAAAUCACAAACUGUGUCUCAGCUUUCCAGGGAUGUGUGAGCAUCCUGCGAUGCUUUUGACACAUAACAGAAAAACAAUAAUCUUAGGCUUCAUAAUUAGCCUUCUACCAGAAAAGAGAAGCUUAGAAAUUAAACAGAAUACCAUAAAACCAGAAAAGUUAUGUACUUUUGACUUCUGUGGUUUUUGGCAUGGACAGAUUCAUGAUUCUUCAUCUUUAAGCUGCCAGUUAAAGCCAUUUGCUCCAGUACUUGGAAAGGAAAAAAUCCAAGGGUGCUUUUGAGGGUCAAUUCAGAGUCCUUAAAUACCUUUUUCAAAGGGAGGUGCUGUUUUCUAGGGGAAGGUUUGCAUUUCUGAAGCAAUUCAUGUGUAAUGUACUUUGGAGGGUGAAGACAACUGUGCUGCUAUCGAGCACACCUGUGCACUGGCAGGCUUAGAAGGCAUCUGUCAUCUCUGCUUUCUAAAAGAGCAGAAGGUGGGGAGAAGAAAGAAAUUUAUAAACACCUUGCUAAUCUGCUUUUUGAUAUGCUUUUUCCUUGAUAUCUUUUUCAUCCAUAAGCUUGGAAAUUGUGAGGUUUUUGUGUUGCUUCAUACAUGGCUUUCUGUCGAUAUUAAAAGGCACAUCUCAGAAAGAGAGUAGGGCAAGUCCUAGUUUGGUUCCAGUGGGAACCAGUACAGUCAAAACUCCUUGUAGCAUCUCCUGUGUAACAGCAAAAUGAUACUGGGAUUCUACCCAGGAAGAGGAGUGAGGAAACAUCGUCUCUGCUGAGAGAAGAGAUGCAGACGUUUUUACAAACAAUGCACAAGGAUGCUUUCUUCAAACUAGAAAAGUUUCUGGAUUUGUAAAGAAGAACAGCUUUGAGCAGUCAGUCCAUAUAUUUCGUCUAUGAGGAGAUAUGAAUAACAGAUCAACAAGCCUGUAGAUACAAAACUGGACUUUGUGUUAUUCUCCUUGGAAUUGCUUGGACUAUUGACAAACACGGAAGAAAAAAAAAUGUGUCCAUAAUAAAAUAGUGUUCUGCCACAAAUACCAAGUUUUAGCAGAUACAAGCUCACACGACCUCACAUCUGACCUUCUGAACUGCAAUAGAAGUAACUUGGCUUGCUCUCUGUGCACUGCAACCAGUGACAGGAGAGCAAGUGGGUGUGGAUGGUGCUAUUCAGAGCUGCCUUACUGAAGGAUGUGCCAGUUCCUUGGCAUGGAAAUCACCCUGGAUGCCUUUGCCAGCCAUUUAUUCCCUGCCAAUUUGAGAGCACAUUACUUUUAGGAGCAGUUUUAUCCAGCCCAGGGUGAAAUGCAGGAAACGAGGUAUUUUUUACUUUGUUCUGGCUGUGAAAAUGCAUGCAUAGUAUAGGGAAACAAAGAAACAGUAUCUGAUGCAUGUUUUCCAAAGUGUUACAUGAGAACACAUAACAACUUCAAGAGGAAAAUAUCUCCUCCUUCUGUUAACUGCUCAUUACUUUUUCCUCUCUUUUUUCCAUUAGAUCCUUGGGAGCAAAAUCCCAGAUUUCAAAUGUUACUUCAUGUUUUUGACUUCAAUUGUGAUGAAAGAAGACUGGGUGAAGAGUGGAAAGGAAGUGAUGGCCGGUUUUCCAGUUUGAAAAGGAAGCCAGAGAAAAGAGCAUAGGAGUCUUUCCUCCACCAUCUCCCCCAGAACUCUAAAUUUACCAAUUUUCAAACCUUAAAUGAGAGCAAUGAACUCCAAAAUCACCUCUUUAAAAGGUAUGGAACCCCAGUAAAAGAGAACAGUCUGCUGGCACGGGAUAAGAGGCUGCACAAACUAAUGAGCUCCCUUCCUGCCUUAAUGACAACAGUAGGUAUCCCAGAGUCUAAUCCACAUAUAACUGGAAUGUUGAAGUCCAGAACUCUUAAACCAAUUCCACCAUGGAAACAUCCGGACAGCUGCUUCUCUCCAAACAGAAUAGAAAUGCUAAUGACUGUGCUGCUUGGUGAGGCUCCAACAAC